GGCCCCGCCCCACGCCGCGCCACGGCCCGCCGGGCCCCGCAGGGAGUUCGAGGGCUCCGAGGCUGCUCCCAUACGCACUGGUGGAAGGAGAGGCCGCGUUCCCGGCUGAGCACGGUGUCACGGGUGCUGCAGCCCACUGCGGAGCAACUUCGGGUCAUCUUCUUGUUACGUGGGGCCCCACCUUCGGGGUUCCCGCGACAGCAUGAAUCACGACAACUUUAGCUCCGCCCGUUGACUCUGCGGCUACGACCUUUAUUUGUCAGGAAAGGCGGGCUUUAGAGGCGCGGGACUUCCACACUUCCUCUCCGAAGGCCCUGCGCCGGUGCCGUAGCCAAUGACAGACCACGUUGUGUCCCAGCAGCCAAUCGGAAGGGCCUGGUCCUGAAGUCGUGCACUUGACCGCUCCUCCCUCCGCGUUGGAGGCGGAAUAGUGGGUUUUGCUGCAACCGGUUUUCUUUCUGUUUUCACCCAUUCUGGCACAAUCCGGCGCCAUCGUCCUUCUUGUGAGGCCAAGCCUGAAAAUGCGAAGCAGAGAGGCAGAACCAAAAUUGAGGCGAAUCCGGGAACCUGCCAAUGGGUCUCCGGGUGCGGUCUCUGAAACUGGAGGAUAUCAGGAGGAAAGGCUCUCCGAUGCGGAGAGAAUGGGGAAGCUCUUGGCAUGGUUGGCUGUAGGUGUGUGAUACCGGAGGAGCAGGAGUCAAAUAGGAUACGCCGACUUUUAAUUCAAGGAACCCUUUUCUGAAACACUUUGCCACAAUGAAGGAAAUAAGGAAUUGUACUCUCAGAAAUGUUGAGAAAAGAUACAUGGGUCUUGGAAGAUAAUUACUCAAAAUAUGCAGGGAAGGAAUAAAAUUGAAGGGUGUUUUUCUUAGAGAACAUCAUUUGUCAUAUUUAUUUGAUCAAGAAGUUGAAGAUUUAUGUAACAAGGAUCUAGUUUGAAGCACUAAGAAGAAUAAGACAUCAGUUUGAAAAGAGGCUCUAUCAGAACAACACGAAUUCUGCUAAAAUUGAAGCAAGAACAAACAUCAAAUAUAUGUUGACACUUGGGUGGAAGAAUGGUGAACUAAUUGAUGCUUUAUGAAAAGUUGAUAGGGACAAUGCUCCAAAGAAAUCAGUUUACAAACGGAUAACUCGUUUUAAGAAGGAAUAAGGUAAUGUUGAAGAAGAAACCCACAGUGGCAGAUCAUCCACAUCAGUUUGUGAGAAAAAAGUUAGUUCAUGGCAUAAUUGAAGAAAACCAACAAUUAACAGCAGAAACAACAGCCAACACCAUAGACAUCUCAGUUGGUUCACCUUACACAAUUUUGACUGGAAAAGUUCAGCAAACUUUAUACCUGAUAGGUACCAAAACCAUUGCACCCAGAUCAGCUACAGACAAGAACAGAGCUUUCAAUGGAAAUUUUAAAUAAGUGGGAUCAGGAUCCUGAAGCCUUUCAUUGAAAAAUUGUAACAGGAGAUGAAACAUGGCUUCACCAGCGCAAUCCUGAAGACAAAACACAAAGCAGUGGUUACCAAGAUAAGUAGUUCAGUCAAAGCACAAGAGGACUGGUUGAGAGCAAAGGUCAUGGCAACAGCUUUUGAAUGCUCAAGGCAUUUUGCUUGUUGACUUUCUGUAGGGCCAAAGAAUGGUAACGUGCUUAUCAUGGGAGUGUUUUGAGAAACUUAGCCAAAGCUUCAGCAGAAAAAUCCCCGAGAAAGACCAGAGAGUUCUUCACCACAAUGUUCCUGCUCAUCCCUCUCAUCAAACAAGGGCAUUUUGCAAGAGUUUUGAUGGGAAAUCACUAGGCAUCCACCCUACAGUCCUGGUUUGGCACCUUCUGGCUUUUUGUUUCCUAAUCUUAAAAAAAUUGUUAAGGGCAGUACAUUUUUCUCAAGUUAAUGUAAAAAGAAACUGCAUUGAUGUAGAUAAAUUCCCAGAACUCUCAGUUCUUUAGGGAUGGACUAAAUAGCUGGUAUCAUCACUUACAAAAGUGUCUUGAAUGCUAUAGAGCUAAUGUUCAGAAAUAUAGUUUAUAUUUUUAUCUUUUAACCAUUUUUCCACAAACUUUUUGAAGUCUCCUUGAAUAUGUACCAUUUAUAAAGGGGAAAAAUUCUGUGACUACUCAUGUUGACUUAAUGCUGACUUAAUUUUCUAUUUUGUAAAUAUAUACAAACAAGUUGAUACAAAGUUUGUUUAUAGCCCUUAAACAAAUUUGUGAAAUAAAUGCAUUCAGAAACAAACUAAAACAAUGAAAUGGAUGCUACUGUUUUACUGAGGUGUAAACAUAGUACUGGCUGCUAUGGAAAAAGUUACAUAAACAUUCAUGUAUCUUGUGAUGAUUGUUUUGUCUACAACUUCAUUCUUUGCAGACAUCAAGACUAUUGAAAUGAGGGGAAGGGAUCUGAAUUCCCAAAAGAAUGUCAAGUGGGCAUGGAGGCUCAUGCCUAUAAUCCUUGCACUUUGGGUGGCUAAAGCAGAAGGAUCCCUGGAGGCCAGGAGUUCCAGACCAGUAUGGGCAACAAAAUGAGUCCCUGUGUCUACAAAAAUAAAAUAAUUAACCAGGCAUGGUGGUGUGUGCCUGUAGUCCUAGCUACUUGGGAGGCUGAGGUGGGAGGAUCACUUGCGCCUUGGAUGUUGAAGCUGCAGUGCGCUGUGAUCAUUGCCACCACACUCCAGCCUGGGCAACAGAGCAAAAACCUGUCUCUAAAAAAACCUAGAAUAUCUUUGUGCUAUGCAAAGCCUAAUUUGAAAAAUUUGUUAUUAAAUUCUCUCCAAACAUUC
rnacentral:antisense_RNA from 1 species